CUAAUGUCUCUCUCACACCUUUGUCUUAUUUACUGUCAUUUUUCAUACACAAUUCCCUUCUCAAAUCAAAACCAUAGAAGCCCAAAGAGACAGCAAAGCUGUACUUGGAAAUUACAGAUUUAGUUGUGAAAGAGAGCUCGCAAUCUAAUUUGAUCCAUAGCUGCUGUAGAUUUAACUAAUCCGUCAGUCGCUAAUUAUGCCGUCAGGUGCGAAGAAGCGAAAAGCUGCCAAGAAGAAGAAGGAGAAUCCAAAUCCGCCCCACAAUCACUCUGAUUCUGCUCCUGCUCACACUCACGGGGAUGAUGCUGAUGUGAAGCACGAGAAGCUUCUGGCCGAAGCAGAGGCCGGAGGUGCUUCUUCCGUGGAAGGAUCUCGAGUUGGGGUGGAGAAGGAUACCAAGAUUGAGGAUGAAUCGGGUGUGAACGAUAGCAUCAUCGACCACAAUGGGGAAAACAGGAAGCCAUAUGGUGGAGGUUCAUCGGGGAGUUGUGGCAGCAGCAGCAGCAGCUCAGAUGAUGAGAACUGUGGAAUCAAGAAAGGGGAAGCUGAGUCUAGCUUUGCUUCCGAGGUAUCAGUGGGAGUGGAUGAUUCUUUAUCUGGAAAGCCAGUUGAGUCUAUUUGUGAUUCAACUGUGGAAAGCAUCUCUGUGGCUCCUCUUGUUGUUGAGUGUACACUAGAGGGGAACGAGGGGAAAAAGCUUGGCUCGGUCGAAGAAAGAAUUUGCACGUCAGUUGAAGAAGCAGAUGUUGGAUCUGCUGAGAUCACUCCAAAAACCUUAGAUCCAAGAGAAUUUGUUACUCAAGAAAAUGAUGAUAGAUCAACACUUCCUAGAGUUGCUUUAGACAAUGGAGCACAACACGUAAAAGAUUCUAACGUUGCUCAGCCGGUGGUGGCUCCUUCUCCGUACCCAGUUCAAAAAACGACGUGGAAGAGUUGCUGUGGAUUGUUUGAAAUGUUUUGAGGGUCUGGUGAUUAAUCAAAAAUUCUGAAACAAAAUUUCGAAGUUGUAGAAUCUUCUUGAAGCAGAAGCAGACAUUGUGGCUGAGGAAAGCUGUGGAGGAUGUCAAUGAAGAUCUCCAUCAUCAAAACAAAGACACCUCCAUGGAUGAGGGCGAUGUAGAAGAGCUGCGUAGCUGACAGGAUUAUGAUGAAAGCUUCCAUUGUUACCUGCAACCAACCAAAAGAACAACCCAUAAGCAAAACGUUACCAUUCAGAAUCUGUAUGUAAAGAUCCGAUUUUUAUUCAUCUCACCAAACGGCUAUUUCUGCCGCUCAAAUCGAUCUGUUUCCACGCAAACCUGUCAAAGAAACAGACACCGUUGGCUCCCGUAAAAGCAAAAGGAAGGAAGAAAGAUGAUUAGAGGAUAAUUAUGACUCACCCCAUGGCGAGAACUGUAAGACUCCAGGCAAUGGUGCCGCCUGCAGCAGCUGCAGGGAGACUAUCCAUGCCCCAGUAACGAAUAUGGUUGAGCCCCGAGAUGGCCGAAGCAACUCCAACAACCCCGGCAAUCAAAGAGAAGAUGACGAAGAAUCCAGUGGCUGCGUUUCCCAUGGGGAAGUAUAUAGGCGAGAAAUGCGCAGGCAGAUCAAAGCCUUUCCCUGUAGGGAGGAAUUAAACAAUGAGUCAGUGAGAAAAAGUGAUAUGAUGUGGGUUGAGUUUUGACACGUGUUACCGAUGAUGAAUCCGUGGUCGAUAGCUCUGUUGAUGCUCCAAGCACCGAUGCCCACAACGAUGGCGUACAUGCAGAAGUUGAGACACAGAAGCAGCAGCGGUAGUUUUUGCAGCGGCGGCGCCAUUCUUGGAUGUGAAACAAGAUUGCUGCAACAUUUCUAAGCGAACGAAGUUUAUAAGCAUGGUGGUGGUCAUGAGUUGAGGGUUCUUUUCUUGUAACGUUGGAUGUAGUAAAAGGUUUUGUGUGGGCUUGUAAAGAUGAUGAUGCUUAGUGUUCACGGCAGGGAAUACAAAAUACCAACAAAUUCAUUUCUCUC